rnacentral:rRNA from 1 species
UACGUAGGGUGCGAGCGUUGUCCGGAAUUAUUGGGCGUAAAGAGCUCGUAGGCGGUUUGUCACGUCUGCUGUGAAAUCCCGAGGCUCAACCUCGGGCCUGCAGUGGGUACGGUCAGACUGGAGUGCGGUAGGGGAGAAUGGAAUUCCUGGUGUAGCGGUGGAAUGCGCAGAUAUCAGGAGGAACACCGAUGGCGAAGGCAGUUCUCUGGGACGGUACUGACGCUGAGACGCGAAAGCGUGGGGAGCGAACAGG